GACAGAGGGGGCAAGCGUUGUUCGGAAUUAUUGGGCGUAAAGCGCGUGUAGGCGGCUUUGCAAGUCGGGUGUGAAAGCCCUCAGCUUAACUGAGGAAGUGCGCCCGAAACUGCAGAGCUUGAGUACCGGAGAGGAUGGCGGAAUUCCCCAAGUAGAGGUGAAAUUCGUAGAUAUGGGGAGGAACACCGGUGGCGAAGGCGGCCAUCUGGACGGAUACUGACGCUGAGACGCGAAAGCGUGGGUAGCAAACAGG
rnacentral:rRNA from 1 species